GUGGGGAAUAUUGGACAAUGGGCGAAAGCCUGAUCCAGCCAUGCCGCGUGUGUGAAGAAGGUCUUCGGAUUGUAAAGCACUUUAAGUUGGGAGGAAGGGCAGUAAGUUAAUACCUUGCUGUUUUGACGUUACCAACAGAAUAAGCACCGGCUAACUUCGUGCCAGCAGCCGCGGUAAUACGAAGGGUGCAAGCGUUAAUCGGAAUUACUGGGCGUAAAUCGCGCGUAGGGGGUUCAGCAAGUUGGAUGUGAAAGCCCCGGGCUCAACCUGGGAAGUGCAUCCAAAACUACUGAGCUAGAGUACGGUAGAGGGUGGUGGAAUUUCCUGUGUAGCGGUGAAAUGCGUAGAUAUAGGAAGGAACACCAGUGGCGAAGGCGACUACCUGGACUGAUACUGACACUGAGGUGCGAAAGCGUGGGGAGCAAACAGGAUUAGAAACCCCUGUAGUCC
rnacentral:rRNA from 1 species